rnacentral:rRNA from 1 species
AAAAACAUAUUUAAUAGAAAUUAUUAUUAAUAUAUCCUGCUCAAUGAAUAAUUAAAUAGCCGCAGUUCAUACUGUGCUAAGGUAGCAUAAUCAUUUGUCUUUUAAUUAAAGACUAGAAUGAAAGGAUAAACAUUUUAAUCUUUACUAUAAUCUUAAUUUUUCAAUUUAUUUUAAAUGUAAAAACACAUUUAUUUAUUAGAAAGACGAAAAGACCCUAUUGAACUUAACUUAAGUUAAACUGGGGCAGUUAAUCAAAAAUUAUUUUAAUUUUUAAUUUUUUAAAAAUGACCCGAUUUAAUCGAUAAAUUGAUCAAGUUACCAUAGGGAUAACAGCGUAAUAAUUUUCUAUAGAUCUUAUAUAAAAAUCUGAUUGCGACCUCGAUGUUGAAUUAAUUUCUCUAAAAAAUGCAACAAUUUUUCAAGAAAGUCUGUUCGACUUUUAAUAAAUUACAUGAUCU